rnacentral:SRP_RNA from 1 species
GCCGGGCACGGUAGCACGUGCCUGUAGUCCCAGCUACUCGGCAGGCUGAGGUGGGAGGAUCACUUGAGCCCAGGAGUUCUGCGUUGUAGUGCGCUAUGCUGAUCGGGUGUCCCACUAAGUUCGGCAUCAAUAUGGUGACCUCCCGGGAGCAGGGGACCACCAGGCUGCCUAAGGAGGGGUGAACUGGCCGAGGUCAGACACGGAGCAGGUUAAAGCUCCUGUGCUGAUCAGUAGGGGGGAUCAUGCCUGUGAAUAGCCACUGCACUCCAGCCUGGGCAACAUAGCGUGACCCCAUCUCU